AAUUAUAUUGAGUUUGAUCCUGGCUCAGAAUGAACGCUAGCCGUAGGCUUAACACAUGCAAGUUGUACGUUUUUUAUAAAUAUAGAAAAAGUAGCGAACGGGUGAGUAACGCGUGAGAAUCUGCCUCUUAAACUGCGGAAUAACAUUACGUUAGAAUCGUGGAUAAGUAUUUUAUGUUAUAUUUAUAUAAAAUAAAGUAUAAAGAAUAAUAUUCGUUAAGAGAUGAGCUUGCGUAAGAUUAGGUAGUUGGUAAGGUAAAGGCUUACCAAGCCAAAGAUCUUUAGCUGGUUUGAGAGAAUGAUCAGCCACAUUGGGACUGAGACACGGCCCAAAUACUUUAGAGUAGCAGCAGUGGGGAAUAUUGGACAAUGGGCGCAAGCCUGAUCCAGCUAUACGGCAUGAGUGUAGAAGACUGUAUUGGUUGUAAAGCUCUUCGGUGAUAUAUUUUUAGAUUAUUUAUAAUUUUAAAGAGCAGAGAUUAUGACAACGUAUCAUCAAAAAGUCCCGGCUAAUCUCGUGCCAGCAGCCGCGGUAAUACGAGAGGGGCGAGCGUUAUUCGGAAUGAUUGGGCGUAAAGCGUGCGUAGAUUGUUAGAAUGGAUUUCUAUAUAAAAAUCAAGGCAACACCUUGAUAGAUAGAAAAGCAUUAGUUUUAUAAAAAUUAAUAAUUAAUAGAUGUAAUUUAUAAUAAUAAGUUAUAUUUAUGUUUUCCAUCCAAACUUGAGUAUUUAUUAGGAGAGUAGAAUUCCUGGAGUAGAGGUAAAAUUUGUUGAUCUCAGGAGGAAUACCUAAAGCGAAAGCAGCUCUCUAGUAAAACACUGACAUUGAGGCACGAAAGCGUGGGUAGCGAAAAGGAUUAGAUACCCUUGUAGUCCACGCCGUCAACUAUGAUCUUUUUCUAUUUUCCCUUGCAAGGGGGGAAGUGGAGUAGCUAACGCGUUAAAAGAUCCGCCUGAGGAGUACGGUCGCAAGAUUAAAACUCAAAGGAAUAGACGGGGACCCGCACAAGUGGUGGAAUAUGCGGUUUAAUUCGAAACAACGCGCAAAACCUUACCAGUCCUUGAUAUGACACUUAUAGUUAAAAUGUUAUCGUUUUAUACUUUGUGUUACAGGUGUUGCAUGGCUGUCGUCGGUUCGUGCCGUAAGGCGUUGGAUUAAUUUCUUUAACGAACGAAACCCCUGUUAUCAAUUGCUAAGAUUACUAAAAACAAUGUUUUUAGAUCAGAACUUUGAUAUUACUGCCAGUGAUAAACUGGAGGAAGGAAGGGAUUACGUCAAGUCUUCAUGACCCUCAUGGGCUGGGCUACACGUGUAUUACAAUGGCGAAUACAAAAAGAUGCAAUGAUGAGAAUCGGAGCAAAUCUAUAAAAUUCGUCUCAGUACAGAUUGUUUUCUGCAAUUCGAAAACAUCAAGAAGGAAUCACUAGUAAUCGUGGAUCAGCACGCCACGGUGAAUCAGUACUCGGGUCUUGUACUCCCCGCCCGUCACACUCUGGGAAUCGAGUAGAUUGUAAGUCUGUAUUUCACUUUUUUUCUAUUCUUUAGAAAUAAUAAUAAGUUCUGAUGAAUUUAUUAAAUAUAGAAAUUUAGAAAAUAUACCCAGAAUUUAUUUGGUAACUGGAGUGAAGUCGUAACAAGGUAACCGUAGGGGAACCUGCGGUUGGAUUACUUCUUUU
rnacentral:rRNA from 13 species